rnacentral:rRNA from 1 species
CGCGUAGGCGGUCGUUUAAGUCAGGUGUGAAAGCCCCCCGGCUCAACUGGGGAGUUGCAUCUGAUACUGGGUGACUAGAGUGCAGGAGAGGAAAGUGGAAUUCCGAGUGUAGCGGUGAAAUGCGUAGAUAUUCGGAGGAACACCAGUGGCGAAGGCGGCUUUCUGGACUGCAACUGACGCUGAGGCGCGAAAGCUGGGGGAGCGAACGGGAUUAGAUACCCCGGUAGUCCCGGCCGUAAACGAUGGAUGCUAGGUGUGGGGGGUAUCGACCCCUUCCGUGCCGCAGUUAACACAAUAAGCAUCCCGCCUGGGGAGUACGGCCGCAAGGUUGAA